rnacentral:rRNA from 1 species
CCUACGGGGGGCUGCAGUGGGGAAUAUUGGACAAUGGGGGCAACCCUGAUCCAGCCAUGCCGCGUGUGUGAAGAAGGCCCUCGGGUCGUAAAGCACUUUCAGUGAGGAAGAACGCCUGGUGGUUAAUACCCAUCAGGAAAGACAUCACUCACAGAAGAAGCACCGGCUAACUCCGUGCCAGCAGCCGCGGUAAUACGGAGGGUGCGAGCGUUAAUCGGAAUUACUGGGCGUAAAGCGCGCGUAGGUGGCUGGAUAAGCCGGUUGUGAAAGCCCCGGGCUCAACCUGGGAACGGCAUCCGGAACUGUCAGGCUAGAGUACAGGAGGGGAAAGUAGAAUACUCGGUGUAGCGGUGAAAUGCGUAGAGAUCGAGAGGAAUACCAGUGGCGAAGGCGAGCUUCUGGACUGACACUGACGCUGAGGCACGAAAGCGUGGGUAGCAAACAGGAUUAGAUACCCCAGUAGUC